rnacentral:rRNA from 1 species
GGCGGCGUCCCUAAUACAUGCAAGUCGAGCGGACCGACGGGAGCUUGCUCCCUUAGGUCAGCGGCGGACGGGUGAGUAACACGUGGGUAACCUGCCUGUAAGACUGGGAUAACUCCGGGAAACCGGGGCUAAUACCGGAUGCUUGAUUGAACCGCAUGGUUCAAUCAUAAAAGGUGGCUUUUAGCUACCACUUGCAGAUGGACCCGCGGCGCAUUAGCUAGUUGGUGAGGUAACGGCUCACCAAGGCGACGAUGCGUAGCCGACCUGAGAGGGUGAUCGGCCACACUGGGACUGAGACACGGCCCAGACUCCUACGGGAGGCAGCAGUAGGGAAUCUUCCGCAAUGGACGAAAGUCUGACGGAGCAACGCCGCGUGAGUGAUGAAGGUUUUCGGAUCGUAAAACUCUGUUGUUAGGGAAGAACAAGUCCGUUCGAAUAGGGCGGCACCUUGACGGUACCUAACCAGAAAGCCACGGCUAACUACGUGCCAGCAGCCGCGGUAAUACGUAGGUGGCAAGCGUUGUCCGGAAUUAUUGGGCGUAA